ensembl:lncRNA
GUGUGUUUCUUGUCAUGGAAAGGGUUACAAAGGCUGCCUCAUGUGUAACGGUUACAGACCCUUGUGUAUUCCAUGCAGCUCACAGUUACAUGGAAGAACCAGGUGUUUGUGUUUAUACCCAACCGGGUGCCUGGAUUCUCUCUGAAGAAGUUUGAGAAGGUGUCUGGGGAAGUGUUCUUUGUAGAUGAAAAUCUCUCCUGGUAUACAUCGAUCCAUUCAUUCUGCUGUGAGCCGCAUCCUGAAGCAAGUGAGCAGAAACUGAACCAGCAGUCUGCUGCCAAAUGCACAGCAGAAUUAUGGUGUCAAACAAUUGUGCUGGUGCCUCUCACUCAUGUAUUUUACGCUUACAGUGGAGAAGACUACGAGAAAACAAAGUUCACACCACCAAAUACCCUUCUUCUUGCAGCAUUUUGUAAAAACUGAAUUUGUUUUGUGUCUUAACCAUUCUUGAAAUUAUUCAUAAUUAACAUAAAGAUGUAAAUACAAUACAGUGUGUAUUUAUCACUAAUGUAUAAAUGUCUAUGAAAACAAGGCUCCUUUCUCCUCAUUCUCUCAUAUAAGCAUAUAACAGCAUGUUAUGAACUACUGUUUUAUUAUCAUUACUUCAUUCUGUUUAUUAAAGAUAAGUAUUAAAAUUAAUUUGAGUACAGUUUAUUUUUGGUCAAUUUGUGCCAUAAAGGUGCAGUUGAUUUGCUGCACAUUUACAGAUUUUCUUGAUAAAUUUCUAUAUAUUUUGAUGAUUGUAUUUUGAUAACUUGAAAGGACUUAUGUGAAUGUCUUUAUACCUCAAGGUUUUGGCAAAUAAAAAAUUAUUUUCCAGGAAAAAUAUACA